rnacentral:lncRNA from 1 species
CCGGGUUCAAGUGAUUCUCCCGCCUCAGCCUCCCAAGUAGCUGGGACUACAGGUGCUCGCCACCACGCCUGGCUAAUUUUUGUGUUUUCAGUAGAGACGGGGGUUUCACCAUAUUGGCCAGGAUGGUCUCCAUCUCCUGACCUCGUGAUUUGCCCUCCUCGGCCUCCCAAAGUGCUGGGAUUACAGGUGUGAGCCACCGCACCCGGCCUCUCAUGUAAAAUAAUUAAAAAAAAAAAAAUUCUGGGCCGGGCGCGGUGGCUGACGCCUGUAAUCCCAGCACUUUGGGAGGCCAAGGCGGGCGGAUAACCUGAGGUCAGGAGCUCAAGACCAGCCUGGCCAACAUGGUGAAACCCCGUCUCUACUAAAAAAUACAAAAAUUAGCUGGGCAUGAUGGCGGGUUCCUGUAAUCCCAGCUACUCCGGAGGCUGAGGCGGGAGAAAAACUUGAACCCAGGAGGCGGAGGUUGUAAUGAGCCGAGAUCGCGACAUUGCACUCCAGCCUGGACGACAGAGUGAGACUCCGUCACAAAAAACAAAAAACAAAACAAGAACCAAAAAAAACACAUAAAAAACAAACAACAACAACAACAAACGAAACCUCUAAUCACAGGAUCAACACACCCAGCUAAAACAGCUCAACUUCCUCAUCACACAACACAGUUCUGGCCAGUUAGACACACGUCCCCGGAAAGGGCAUCUCCAGGAGAAUAAAAAGGCCAAGCCACUUUUUGAAGAAAGUCUUUGUCCCUACCCCCUUUUUCUACCUGGAAGUCAGACUCAGGCCUGGAGUGUAGCGGCCGCCUUGGUACCUGGAAGCAACAAUCAUGGCCGGGAGACCUUACACCUGGCAUGGUAGAGCAGACGGAGGAGGGGCCGCCUGGUGAAUAGCCUGGCCAACAGCCCCAAACUGCUACCCCUUAAAUUCUGGGUAGGUGAGAAAAAUAAGUCCUGUCUAAGCUGCUCAUUGUUUUAGUUACCUGUAGCCAAAGUUAAAUCCUGCCUAAAAGGGUUCUCCCCUCAUUUUUAUAUUACAUGCCAUUUUUUAUUUUAUUUUAUUUUAUUUUAUUUUAUUUUAUUUUAUUUAUUUAGAGACAGAGUUUCGCUCUUGUUGCCCAGCCUGGAAUGCAAUGGCGCGAUCUUGGCUCACUACAGCCUCUGCCUCCCAGGUUCAAGUGAUUCUCCUGCCUCAGCCUCCCGAGUAGCUGGGAUUACACGCACCCGCCACCACGCCCAGCUAAUUCUUUUUUUUUUUUUGAGCCGGAGUCUCGCUCUGUCGUCCAGGUUGGAGUGCAGUGGCGCAAUCUCAGCUCACUGCAAGCUCCACCUCCCGGGUUCACGCCAUCC